rnacentral:lncRNA from 1 species
CAAAUAAGGAAAAUGAGAAUAAAUUCGUAGCAGCCGGCAACAUUGACUUGCAAUCGCGCGCAGCUAGCAGCGCUCUUAUGGUCGUGUUGGAAAUAAAUGGAACAACGGAACAGAAAUUGCUGAAUUUUGACAUGUCAACACAACUUUCUUCUUCUAUUUCAAGGUUCGUAAGUAGUGUAAUCCAGCUCGUUUUCGUUUCAGUCGACUGCUUAGAAUUUUUUUGUUUAACCUUCGGUAAGUUCUAAUCACUUGUGCAUGUCUUUGUGACAAUAGCAGAGCGAAAUAUCUGCAGGUUGCUUUGCUGUAGCCGAGAGAAACGUGGUUAACCCUUAUCUUGAUUUACGGAAUAUCGGUCGUUUACCUGUCACAUUUUUCGUAGUUCUCAGCUCGUCAUCCAUCCGUAGUUAGUGGUAAUUGCUUCAGAGUCCACUUUCUGUGUGUUAAUACAGGAAAUAUUCCGAGACAAUUCUUCAGUUUUAAAGUAUUAUAGCAAGAAUGGUUUAAAAAUCAUAUCAGAAUGCCAACCCCGACAGAGGAGAACGUUGUUUCAGAGCUGAGGGCAGCACUCCUCUCAUCCAAAACUCCGCUACGCAUACAAGAUGUCAAUACUGAUUACAGAGUUCUCAAUGGAUAUAACAUCCCAUUCAAAGAUUUUGGACACAAGAGCUUGGAAGAAUUUCUUACCAAGCUCAAAGAGAGAGGAGAUAUAACCAUGAGAUAUGAGGGGGCAAUCUCAUGGUUCAUGCUCUUGCCAAAGGCACCUCGGCCCAUGUUACCAGUAUGAUCAGCAAGCAAAAACCAGCAAAGAAAAAGAGUGGUGGUGGGUUCAGAGGGAGAGGAGGAAGAGGUGGUCGUGGUGGGAGAGGAGGUAGUUUUUCUGGCCGACCACCACCUUACAGGCCACCUCCAAGCACAUAUCGACCUCCUCCAAGCAUGUAUCGACCACCUCCAAGCACAUAUCGACCACCGCCUAGGCCAGCAUCCUCACUUCCUGCCUACAGGCAAACACCAAAGCCAGCAUCUUCAUUUCCAGCUCAUCAACCUCCGAGGCCGUCAUCUCAAUCAACAUCCAAUUAUUCCUCUGCACCCAAAAGCGCCCCAGAAAAAACUCCGUCUGUUCAAUCUCGGCUGUCCAAAUUCAACAAUUUUGCAAACCUGCCAUUAAGUUUGCAACAACGUCUAGGUGAAAAAAUUGAUGAUGACAACUCAGGAGCUUACAAUGGUCACUUAUCUUACAAGAGAGAUAACGAACAAACAAGGAAAGAAAAUGAUGUUUGGGAACGUAGGGUUGUAAUGUCUGAUUCACCCUCUACCUCUAAAUUUGAGGACAAAUCUAUUCCUCAAAGGGAACAUCAGGCAUUGAAUGCUCAAACAAACAGGCUCCAAGCGGAAACACUAGCUCCUCGCUUCCAGAAGCAAAUAGAGCUCAGAAAUGGAACUGCGACCACACAAUCAAACGGAGAAAGUUCAUCAGCAGUAUCUCAAUCUAAUGCAGUGAACAAUUCGUCAGCAGAAGACUUAAGUCCAGGUGGAGGAAAAAUGCUUAGAGGACCAGCUGGUGUUCUUGCCAAAGCUAAAGCAAAUCAGGCCAAGAAAAAUCAGGAGCUUUUGCAAGAGCAGGGAGCUGGAAAUGCACUAUCCUCUAGCAGGCCACAAAAUAAUCAUGUCCCGCCUCUUGGCAAUCCUCCUUCGCUCAACUCAGCACCAUUGCAAGGUGUGGAUAUGUGGACAGCACAGGGAAUGUUCACCGAAAUGCUUCAAUCACCUCUGAUGAUUCCCACCAAUAUAAUGAAUCAUCCGCCUUUACCUGUGCCAGCCAUUCAUACAGUGAAUCCAGGUCAACCUAAUUACAUGCAUUUCUCUCAACCGACUCCCAAUCCUAAUAUACAGUACCCUCUGAGUAACCAACCCAAUCAGACACUGUCAAUGAAUGGCAUCAAUCCCAUCAAUGGCAUAAUCCCUACCAAUGGCACCAACAAUGGGCAUAACUUGAUGAAUGGAGCUGGUUUGGCCAAUGAUACGAGUGCCACACAGAAUUUUUCGAAAUCUAUUUCAGGCAGACAGAGGAGUGCAACCCCUGCUCAAGACCGGCUGAAGAAUAUCCAGCCUUUGAAUCCAGACCCAAAACCCCCUGUACCGUCAUCUUCUAUCCCAUCAUCUUCUCUACCUAAAAUCAAUGAAGACCUGUCGAAUCUUCCAAACGAUGUUCAGAACAUAAUUAACAAUAUGGGUUUCUUGGAAGUCAGUGAUACGCAGCAGAUUUCAUAUCAAGACCCUGGCUCUUCACCUGUUUCUUACGUUGAAAAGUUGGCUAGUCUUGCCGAAAAACUUAAAUAUCCCGAUCCGUCCUAUAAAACGCUUUCCAGAUAUUGUAAAACAGAAAGAAAAACUUUGUAUGCAACUGUGGUAACGUUGGAAGCUGACAAAAAGUACUCAAGUACCCCAGAAGAAUACUCAUCGCCAACAGAGGCGCAAGAAGCUGCUGCAAAGGGUGCAUAUUUAGAUUUGACCAAGAAGUCACAGAUGCCAGUGAAAAAAUUGAGGCCAGUGUCAACUGCAUCAUCCUUUGUUUUGGGCACACGGAUAGGCCAUUUGUUGGAAGGCCAAAAUCAUGGGAUCUGGUCGGAUGAAGUUGCUACAAUGUACAUAAAAGGUUCCAGGAAGGCCUCCCUGAUAAUUGGGUCAAGCUAG